rnacentral:rRNA from 1 species
AUUGAACGCUGGCGGCAGGCUUAACACAUGCAAGUCGAGCGAGCGGCGGACGGGUGAGUAAUGUCUGGGAAACUGCCUGCUGGAGGGGGAUAACUACUGGACACGGUAGCUAAUACCGCAUACCAUCAGAUGCGCCCAGAUGUGAUUCGCUAGUAGGUGGGGUGAUGGCUCACCUAGGCGACGAUCCCUAGCUGGUCUGCGAGGAUGCCCAGCCACCCUGUAACUGAGACACGGUCCAGACUCCUGAGGAAGGCAGCAGUGGGGAAUAUUGCACAAUGGGCGCAAGCCUGAUGCAGCCAUGCCGCGUGUGUGAAGAAGGCCUUCGGGUUGUAAAGCACUUUCAGCGAGGAGGCGUUACUCGCAGAAGAAGCACCGGCUAACUCCGUGCCAGCAGCCGCGGUAAUUC